GAUGUGGAGGCAAAAUGGGUGACACCAGACACACACCAAGCACAUUGUUCGGACAUUCAAUCAUGACAUGAUCCAUGUGGAUGCUGUCCAUUGAGGAAAGAGUUUGUUCAGCGGUUUCUGGAUAGAAUUAAUUCCAAAGAUGGGAAAAAGUGCACAUCCAGACAAGGAGCAAGCAAAAAGACAAGGAACUUGGUGCAGAGAAAAGCUGUGGCCAUUAACCCCCAUGUGAACAGCUUCAUGCAGUCCCUGAUUGAGUUCGAAUGGACGACUUCAAAGUAAAGGCCACUGUGGUCUGUCUGCCAGUUUAAUGCAUUUAUUUUUAGUGUUAAAUGAAAUUCAAGUAGAAUAUUUAAAACUAUGGGCCAGUGUUCUUUUUACCACAGUGAAAUGUUACCUUUUAGUCGAUGAUGGACUUUAAACUGAAAACUUCAAACUAUGGAACAGUGUUCUAUUUGCCAGAGUUAAAUAUGUUACAGCAGGGGUCUCCAAACUUGUUUAUACUUGUUGAUUUUAUUUUAUGUUACUUGAUUAUAUGUUUAUUAUUGUUUAAAAUCUUGUUUUAAAUGUUUUGUUUCAAUUAAAUGUUUUUUUAAAUAAAAUUUUGAUACAAACAUUGCUUGGAUUGCCUUUUAAUUCAUUAUGUCAUGUCAAGGAUAGCAUUUUU